UCUCUUCUCUGGUAAACUAAUUCUUCUUCGUCUAUGGUGCUGUAGGCUACAGCCUGUAGCGAAUCUUCUAUUUUUCUACAUCACCGACCUAUCCUGCUGAGAAGUAAAUCCCUAUUAUAGAGAGCCGGCUUCUUCUAUUUUCUCCGGCGAUGUUGCUUAAUCGUAUAUGUUUUCUUCACUGGUAAACUAAUUCCUCUGUCUGUGCCCUAAUCUCUUCUUCACUGACUAGGACUCCCACUUACACACGGCUUGGACAAUCGAAGACGCUCCUCUCGAUGGCAAACAUGGUAGCUGUAACUGAGGGAGAAUUCAGGGGAAAUCUAUCAUGUGUCCACAUCGAGUUAUGUGACAACAAGAGGGAGAAUUCAGGGGAGAUCUAUAAACGGCAACUCAAAGUUCCAGUAUUGUCCAUAACGAAACCAACGGGUUGUUGCAACUUGCAAGCUCAGUGUUGUUCGAGCUCUUGGACUAGACUCCCACUCACACAGCUUGGGCAACGAAAGACGCUCUCUCGAUGACAAACAUGGUAGCUAUAACUGAGGGAGAAUGCAGGGGAGGUUUAAAAAUGACAACUCAAGAAGCUCUUUCAUGUUUCCAGUUUCGGGUAAAAUUGAUGUGGAUCCAACAUGCCUUGAUUGCUGCUUCUGGUGCUUAAUAUCAAAAUUUCAGAGAUCA